rfam:Salmo salar isolate Sally breed double haploid chromosome ssa08, whole genome shotgun sequence.
GGUUCUAUGGUGUAAUGGUUAGCACUCUGGACUUUGAAUCCAGUGAUCCGAGUUCAAAUCUCGGUAGUACCU